UAGCAAUACGGGAAGAAGUCUAGUGGCGAACGGGUGCUUAACACGUGGGCAAUCUGUCUUAAAGUGGGGGAUAGCUCGGCGAAAGCCGAAUUAAUACCGCAUGUGAUUAGAGUGGACAUCCAUUCAAAAUUAAAGUCGGGGCAACCUGACGCUUUUUGAGGAGCCCGCGGCCUAUCAGCUAGUUGGUGAGGUAACGGCUCACCAAGGCUUUGACGGGUAGCUGGUCUGAGAGGACGACCAGCCACACUGGGACUGAGACACGGCCCAGACACCUACGGGUGGCAGCAGUCGAGAAUUUUUCUCAAUGGGGGAAACCCUGAAGGAGCGACGCCGCGUGGAGGAUGAAGGUCUUCGGAUUGUAAACUCCUGUCAUUGGGGAACAAUGCGUGACGGUUAACUGCCGUCGCGUUGAUAGUACCCGAAGAGGAAGAGACGGCUAACUCUGUGCCAGCAGCCGCGGUAAUACAGAGGUCUCAAGCGUUGUUCGGAUUCAUUGGGCGUAAAGGGUGCGUAGGCGGCGCGGUAAGUCGGGUGUGAAAUCUCGGAGCUUAACUCCGAAACUGCAUUCGAUACUGCCGUGCUUGAGGACUGGAGAGGAGACUGGAAUUCUCGGUGUAGCA
rnacentral:rRNA from 1 species